ensembl:lncRNA
GGACUGCGUGUUUGCUCGUUUUGUCCCGGAGCUAUGCCACGCUGGGGUCCCGACUGCCCUGACCCGUUUUGGACUGCUGCUGCUUUGUGUGGGGAUAAAACCCACACUUUUUACGGACCUUGCCUGCUGCUGCGUUCGGGUGCUGAGGGCCUCACUGGUGAUCCUGUUUGGUGAUGGUGUCCCUUCGUGUGUAGUGUCUUAUUCACUCCCCUCCUUUGUUUUGCUUUGCCCUUGUGUGUUUGGAGUGUUAAUUUUGGAUUGUGGUGCUCCCAUUUUAAGUUUAUACUUUCACCCCUCACUCACCUUGAGCACAAAUGCCCCAGCCCUGGAAUACAUGAUAAUUUAUACAAAUAGGAUAAUUUUUUUAGAUUUGAAUUGUGCCCAAUAAACUGUUGUAUAUGCUUUUGGAAACACGUCUCUCGCCUGCUCAGUGUAACGAACUUGUGUUGUCCUUUUGUUUAGAUUUAGUAAUUUACCUUAUUCAUAGAUUUCUUUCUUUUCCCUGGGUGAUUUCUCCCAGGGUGGCGUUGCUGGUUUCCUUUAGUUUCUUUCUUUUUCCCCUAGUUAAAAACAUAGAUUAUUGGGGUAGUUCCUACCCCACCUCACGCUUGCCACAAACUUGGCGUUGCUGGCAGGACUUAUACUGAAAAAAAAAGGCAGAGACGUGUGUUCCUUUGUUUUUUUGUUGUUUGUUUUUUUGUUUUUCUGAAUAAGACAAAGCAGCAGCAGUCCCCUGGCAACCAUGGAGGAAGAAAUGCAAGAGUUGCGAGCUCUGGUUGCGCAGUUAAAGGCUGACAAUGAGAGGUUGCGUCAAGCUUCGUUGGUGCCGCCCUCUAGUGCUACACCUUCAACCUCCUCAGUACUGCCGACUGCCCUUACUUCUGCCAGUGCCCCUGCAGCCGAGAGGUGCUGAGGGCCUCACUGGUGAUCCUGUUUGGUGAUGGUGUCCCUUCGUGUGUAGUGUCUUAUUCACUCCCCUCCUUUGUUUUGCUUUGCCCUUGUGUGUUUGGAGUGUUAAUUUUGGAUUGUGGUGCUCCCAUUUUAAGUUUAUACUUUCACCCCUCACUCACCUUGAGCACAAAUGCCCCAGCCCUGGAAUACAUGAUAAUUUAUACAAAUAGGAUAAUUUUUUUAGAUUUGAAUUGUGCCCAAUAAACUGUUGUAUAUGCUUUUGGAAACACGUCUCUCGCCUGCUCAGUGUAACGAACUUGUGUUGUCCUUUUGUUUAGAUUUAGUAAUUUACCUUAUUCAUAGAUUUCUUUCUUUUCCCUGGGUGAUUUCUCCCAGGGUGGCGUUGCUGGUUUCCUUUAGUUUCUUUCUUUUUCCCCUAGUUAAAAACAUAGAUUAUUGGGGUAGUUCCUACCCCACCUCACGCUUGCCACAUCUCCAUGAAA